rnacentral:ncRNA from 1 species
CUAAAGUUUUAAUCUAGCUUUAAAUAUUAAUAUAUAAUUAUAUCAUAUGUAAAUUUUAGUAGUUACUUUUAUUCCUUUAGAGAGGGUUUAAAAGAUUUAGUCGCAGUGAAUAAUUUUACUUAUUAAGGAGAUUUAGAAUUAGUAAUAUAUAAUAACAUUAACAAAAUUUGUGCCAGCAGUUGCGGUUAGACAUUUAAUGUAAUUAAUAUUGUUAGGUAGAUAGUAAUUGUAUAUUUAAAAAUAAAAAAAAUUGGUUUAUUAGGUGAAAUUUUAAAUUAAUAAAAUUUUUAUUAAAGAUUUAGAAUUUAUUAAAUUUUUGGAUAAACUAGGAUUAGAUACCCUAUUAUUUUAAACGUAAAUUAAAUUACCAGAUUAGUAUUUGUGAUUUCUUGAAAAUUAAAGAUUUUGGCGGUAUUUUAGUCUAUUCAGAGGAACCUGUCCUAUAAUUGAUAAUCCACGAUUUAUUGAACUUAUUUUAGAGGUUUGUAUAUCGUCGUCAUUUGAAUAUUUUUAAAAAAUAAAUAAUGUUCAAAAUUUUAGACUUGAAAGGAGCUCAGAUCAAGAUAUAGCGUAUAGAUAAGUAGAGAUGGGUUACAACAAAGUUAUUUAAAUGGAUUAAUAAUUGAAAAUUAUUAUGAAAGUGGAUUUGAUAGUAAUUAUAUUUAAAUUAAUAUGAUGAUUUUAGCUCUAAAAUAUGUACAUAUCGCCCGUCGCUCUCAUAUAAAAUGAGAUAAGUCGUAACAUAGUUGGGGUACUGGAAAGUGUUCCUAGUUAGCG